UUCGUCUCGCUUCCCACUCUCUCCACUCUUGCUCUUCGCUCUCUCUCUCUCUGCAACCUGAAACUCUCAAACCAUAAGCCAACCAUAACCAAACCCUCCUCAAAUGUUCUUUCUCCCUUCUCUCUCUUAACUCUCACUUUUAUCUCUGUUACUCACUUAAUACAAAGUGGCGUACGGCGACGAUUUCGACAAUCCCGGCAGCGGCCGGCCUCAAGGUUGGUCUCAAACGGUUGCUCCUCACAUCAGGUAGAACAAAUUGAGAUUAAUGCUGGCUCCGGUGGGAGGGAACCGACCUUUUGCAGCCUUCACCGUGCCGAAGAUGAAACAAUUUGCAGAAAACGUUCGUGAUAGUGAGGCUGCUCAGUCUACCAUCUCAAGCAUCUGGUACGUCUGUACGAUUGGUGGUUGAUUGCAGUCGAAAAUGACGUCGGAGGGAAGAGGCUAGCAUUUGCCGGCGUGACCUAUAGAGAGCACGAAGGUAGGAGAGAGUUUCGUCUGCAUAAAUAAUUAAAAGAUUCGAUAUGACUGUGGAUAGCAUCUGUGUAGGCAUCAAAGGGUUCCUAAAGGAGCUGAAGAUUAUAGAAAACGGGAUUCCGUCUGAGUGGUACUUGAUAUUUGCUAAUAUUGCUCUUCUUUACUAAUUUCGGUUGACAUUGUGAAUAUAAUUUACUGUUGAAUGUUUUUUGGUACAAAUUUAGUUUCAAAUUUUGGGCUGGGCUCGAGAUGUUGAAAAAUUAUGCAUUUGAGAGUGUUGGGGACUCACAAUGUGGUAGGUACUGGGUUCCUGUGCUCAACUAUUUUUGGCUCCAGUCGAUGCUUCUUUUGCUGAUGAUGCACCUCUUCUACCUUCUGGUUUUCGCAUCAUUUUUCUUGAUUAUGGAAAGGUUAGCCUAUAAACUAAAUCCCAUUCCCAAGUGAUGUUUAUACAUAAUUUAUACCGCACUAUGUCUUUUAAGGAGAUGUUCAUUAAUGCUCUGAAAAAUGUUUCAGGAAGCGUCCAAUCCGAAUCGCACCCUGGACUCUUUUCGUUCUUUUAUGGUUGUAUUUUGUUGUUCUUUCUGUAUUGUUAUUUCUUUAUUAUUAUUAUUUUUUAAUUUAUUUUAACUUCCGAUAGUUGCUAAAUCCAAAUUUUAAUCUUUUUUUGAUGUUUUGGUAAUGCUCUGUUUGGAUGCUCAGAGAAAGAGGAUUUACUUUUGGAUAUGCUCUAUAAGAAACUACAAUUUACAUUUGGUUUUGGUUCUUUACUGAUGGGAUGUUGUGAUGGGGUUUAGUAACUUUCAGUAUUAUUAUAUUCUUUUUAAUCUGCAAAAUCAAAUUGCCCAUUGAAUUAAAUUGAUAUUGCAUAAUGUCAUCAAGUUUACACCGACGACAAUGAAAUUACCAACUUAGAAUUAAGGGCUGUAUUAAUUUAUUCCAAUUUGAUGCUCUCAUACGGUCAACAAAUUUAUAUAGUUGUCUUAUAUUUUAUAAGAGAAAUUAAGUACAUUGGACAACAUCAUUCAUCCUCUAUGUUUAUUUUUAAUUGUUUUUCUUAAUCUAUUUUUCUGUCUUUUUUUUUUCUGCUAUGUAAUCUCAUAUAGUUUCGAUUUUCCUACAGGUAUUCAUCUAAAAAAAAUACUUCAUCCGUAUACACUCUACAUCACUGCUCAGGUAUAGAAUUCUUUCUUUUCCUUGCUCAAUCAUUAUUUUCCUUUUACUCCAUUUUGAAUCUUCAGUUUGGAACAAAGCUGAUAUAUGUAAAUGGGUUUUAUUCUGGGUUUAAAAAGGUCUGAUCUUUUUUAUUUUUUAUUGCUAGAAAAAAAAUAUGAUUUUUGGUUGAUUUGGUUGCAUAUUUGAAAGAGAGUGAGUGAAACACUAGAUUUUAAUUUAAUAAAUCAUACUACAUUCGCUAUUAUCUUAUUUGUAUAAUUUCAUUUCUGCGUAUAAAUAAUACUAUUUGGGAUAAAACUUGAACUUUGGGUUAAAAAUGGGUUAGCCCAAAGCCCAAAAGAAGGUUCAGAAGAAGGAAAAGUCCAAGGCCCAGCCGAAGCCCAGAAGAAAGAAGGAGCUUGUUUCCCGACCAAGUGCAGAUCAUUCAAACCACCUGCUCACCUACCUAAAGGUCAAGUGGUGUAGACCAGCCAGCUAAUCAGCCCAAAAGUACUUUACAAUGGCAGUACAAGUAAAAAGUUGAUGAGUCACUACCCUUCAGAUGCAUUCCGGCAAAAUCAAUACUGCAGGCAGCCAAGCCAAAUCGUAUAUAAAAGGAGGAAGAAAAAUCAGAGACAAGGACACUCAAUCAAACAAACAAAUACAAGCACAAACUUUGCUCAAACCAGAUUUGCCUUCACGAAGCUAUAGUCAGCCCCCCAGUCUUCAUCCAUUUCGGGAUCAACCUUCACCAGACAGCCUUUGUAAAAGCUCUGCUACCCUGUUUAAAUCUUGUUGUAGUAUCGAUUUCCUCAUAUAAACUCCUUCCAAUCUCCCCUCUAGCAUUUGAACACUUUGUAAAUCACAAAGAGAGGAAGUUGCAAGACGAUCAGCCUUGCCCAACAAGCCCUCCAAUAAGCAGAAGCUCGACAGACAACAUCAACCGGCGCCAACCUCUCGGGGAGCUGUGUGCUCGUUGUCCAGGAAACGUCCUCACUGGAUAUUCCUUAAGACGAACAAAUACUAUAGAACCUACCUGUGUGAUGUGCUUUGAGGUCAAGCUCUUUGAGUACGGUGGGAACUGGGAAUAAAUAUGUGAUUCUCUUUUUUUACGCAUUUGACGUCACAUUUGUUUGUCGUAUAGAAGCCCAAGCUGCAACCACGAUGUCCAUGGAAAACAGGGAGUCCGAUCGGGGAAUUGCUUCACCGGUUCAUCCAAUUCAGGGAAAUUGAAAUCGGCAGUCCUCUCCCCGCCCCUACUCCACUCUCUUCCGUACGCACACUCAUCUUUCUUUAUUCUUCCUAUUUCUUCUCUUUAAUUUGUAUCUUCUGUUAGUUCUUCACCCGAUUUACAUUUGGGUGGUAAUUUUGUGUUUUGCAUACUAUGUUUUAAAAAUAGGUUAUGCGUUCGAAUUUCAUUUUUGUGAUUUUGGGGGUUUUGUUUCUAACCUCGGAUGGUAUAUUUUAGUGUUUGAUUUGGUUUUGUUUUCAGACUCGGAAGAUUCUAAAUUCUAAUUACUGAUCAACUCUAUGUUGAUAACGUUUAAAGUGUUUUGCACAUCGCAUGGAGGUUGUUAUUAAUGAUUAGACCAACAAUUAUCCACAUUCUCUAAAUAGGAUUUCACACAAUAUGAAGUAAACCCAAUACUUAGAAUUGUAUACCUCUCGGACAAAUUAAGCACCCUUCGGUGUGGGUUUGUAUAUGGGAUUUAUCUUUUCUGUGUUUGAUGAUUGUAAAUUGCCAUGUAUGCUUGAAAUAUGGUGUUGAAGAAGAGACUAGAUUUUGGAUUUAAUGGCUUCUUAAUCAGUUGUUUCAUUACGUAAUUAUCUCAACUUUAUUCUAAAGUAUUUCUCUUUAUUUCUACAACUAUGGUUUAAGGGCUUUAGUCGGUACUCAUUGUUAUUUGUUAGUAUGUUUUCUAAAUUAAAAAAAAAUAUCAUGAUUUGUUCGCUGUUUGAUCUUUCCAUGAACUCUUUUUGUCUCAAUAUUGUUUCUACUUCUCAGUGUUUCAAUAUAUUUGUAUUGAAUUGAUUAAAUUUGUGUCUUUACAUUUUUAAAAGGAAGUUUCAAAGUGUUUCUGAAUGCAGGACGAGGAGAAUGUGAUGAGCCCCAAGAAUAGUUAAGUAAGAAAUGAAGUUCUGAGAAGUAAAGCAUGUGAAUCAGUUUUGUUAUACAUAGGUUGUUAAUAUAAAGUUAGUAUAAUCAGGUGCAAAUUGAUGAUAGGAACAGUUUAUUUACUCUGAUUUGUACUUAGAAAGCUAUCUGUGAUUUGUACUUAGAAAGCUGCCAUUUUAGUUGUACAUAAUCUCUUAAUGUAAAUUCAAUAGAACGUACAUACAAAGUGAAGCUAUAUUUCUGCCAUUUAAAUAUGGGUUUAACUGC